rnacentral:misc_RNA from 1 species
UCCCGGUUAACCCGGGCAGUCUCGUUAGAGUUCCCAUCCUAAAUGGUGGCAACUAACAAUAAGGGUUGCGCUCGUUGCGGGACUUAACCCAACACCUCACGGCACGAGCUGACGACAGCCAUGCAGCACCUGUGCAGCGGUCCCGAAGGAAAGCCCUAUUUCUAGGGCGGUCCACUGCAUGUCAAGCCUGGGUAAGGUUCUUCGCGUUGCAUCGAAUUAAACCACAUGCUCCACUGCUUGUGCGGGUCCCCGUCAAUUCUUUUGAGUUUCAGCCUUGCGGCCGUACUCCCCAGGCGGGGUACUUCAUGCGUUAGCGCCGGCACCCAGGGGGUCGCUCCCCCAGACACCUAGUACCCAUCGUUUACGGCGUGGACUAC